CUAGAUUGGGUUAGCGAUAGCAUCUCUGUUUCACAGGUGCUCAAACAACAGUAUUAAUGUACAGUAGUAUUUUCCAAUACUACACACAUUCAACAUCUUUAAGGUAUCACAUUACCAUUCAACUGGAUCUGGAGUUAGUUCAAAUAGUUCACUAUUAGUGUAAUCAUGAGAGACCUAUUUCAGUAUGUAUGGUAUACCAUUGAGGGGAGAUUACUUUGUACACAGACCCUCAUUGAAGUUAGCCUGGUCCCAGGUCGGUUACUUUGUGCUGUCUUGCCAAUGUUUGGCAUGCCACGUGACAAACACACAUAGAAGUUGUCAAGGACCAAGCUGGGUGGAAGAGUAUAUCACAUAGGGUGAAAUACCUGGGUUUACUUGGUAUGUACACGGGUGGACAGCCAUGUUGGUUGGUGCUGACCAAGUGCUUUAAGAAGACAGACAGUUUAUUUACUUAGCCUGAGUGCCAGUCUGUUUCUGCUGUAUUGCCAAUGAAGGGAAGGGAAACGGGGGAUACAUAGUCAGUUGUACAAAUGAACGUCUUCAACUGAAAUGUCUCUCUGAAUCAGAGAGGUGCGGGGGGAGGGCUGCCUUAAUCGACAUCCACAUCUUCGGGUGCCCGGGGGAACAGUGUGACAAGGAGUUGGCAAUGGAGAACAAACAGAUUGGCACUCAAGUUUUAUUAUUUACUUAUUAUAGCCCAGAAAAUAUAUAUUCUUUCGAUGGUACUACCCAUAUACCUUAGUAAGGCUGGUAGAAUGAGGAAAUGAAAUGCUGUUGAAGGCUACUUCAGGCAGACACAAUGACAAUGCAAUUUAUAAUGCCAUUAUAUGGGAGAGCUAUGACAUGGGAGAGCUAUGACAUGGGAGAGCUAUGACAUGGGAGAGCUAUGACAUGGGAAAGCUAUGAUAUGGGAGAGCUAUGACAUGGGAGAGCUAUGACAUGGGAGAGCUAUGACAUGGGAGAGCU